GCCAGGAAGAGGGUAGAGUUUUG
rnacentral:piRNA from 1 species